rnacentral:rRNA from 1 species
UUGAAAUGCAGGUGCAGCUGGACUUUUAUCUGAGCUAAAAGCAUAUCUAUUUAGUCCUCGUCAAACAGGAUUAUUACUAUUGCUGCAGCUAACAUAAAGGAUAAUUGUCCUCAUUGCUGACUGAUGCAGGAUUUUACGACACUUUAUGUGUUGUUCAACUCGAUCUCAAAUCAAGUAAGACUACCCGCUGAACUUAAGCAUAUCAAUAGCCCGGAAGGAAAA